UACGAAGGGAGCUAGCGUUGUUCGGAAUGACUGGGCGUAAAGGGCGCGUAGGCGGUGAGAUACGUUCCAUGUGAAAGCCCCGGGCUCGACCCGGGAACGGCAUUGAAUACGGUCACACUAGAGGACGAGAGGGGGAAACGGAGUAGCACGUGGAGUAGUGAAAUGCGUUGAUAUGUGCUAGAACACCGGGGGGCGAAGGCGGUUUCCUGGCUCGUUACUGACGCUGAGGCGCGAAAGCGUGGGGAGCAAACAGGAUUAGAUACCCGUGUAGU
rnacentral:rRNA from 1 species